UAUAUGAAAAACUUACUAGCUUGUAUGUGAUACGAUCAAGUCAGCACUAAUAGGAGGGGAGGGGGUGGGGGGUGGGGUGGGGUGAAUUAGUGCGUACGUAAAAAUUAUGUCGAGUCGAAAAUCUUCGUAUGAUAAAAGCUCGUAUCGGAAAGAUAUUAACUUGAUAGCGUACGAAAGCAUAGCGAGAUUGAGAAAUCAGUUUGUAAUAUAAAGAAAAAGUAGGAAGGAAAUGCAAACCAAGUUUUAUAGUGGUUCGGUCGUCGUGACAUACGUCCACUCCCGAUUCCUUUUCCGUCGAGGCCAGGGGCAUCCACUAACGAUCUUCCUUCAAUGGGCAAAGACCAACUACCCUUUUACACCCUUUUUCUCUUUUUCAUAGGUUUAUGAGAUAACCUUUACAAUCACUCAUCCCUCUCUUAAACUUCACCUAACACUUAGAGCUUGAGAGGAGUUCUAACAAUAUUACAAUAGUGUUUUCCUUCUUUUUUGCUCUCAGUUGAUGUAUUUACCGAGCAGGGAUGAGUAGGAUUUUUAUAGGCCCCAAAUGGAUUUAAAUUUGGAGCCAAAAUGAUCUCAUCUCAGGUUUUUAGGGUACUGGCAAUACCACCGCUAAUACUGGGCGGUACCACCGCUUGCUAGUCUGACACUAGGUGGUACCACCACCCAAUCUGAUAAUACUACCACAUAACAUACUGAUACUUAGUGGUACUACCACCCAUUCUACUGGUACCAUUGCCUGACACAGCUUGAGAGACUACGUUUGGACAAUACCACCACCUGACAUAAUCUUGAAGAAUGUGUCUGGGUGGUACCAUCGCCUAGUCUGGGUGGUACCACCAUCAAACCUUGCUAUAAGAUACUGAAUGGACCAAAUAAUAGGCCAAAUUCAGCUCUGAUUCAGGCCUAAUUGACCUAUAAUUGAGUUGACAUUGUUUCACCCCAAUACAGACUCAAUUAGAGCUAAACUAACUCAAGCUAGAAAAAUUAUUACAAAGCAUGAAUCAUAUGUUGUCUGACAUGUCAUUAGUUCUUCUAACGCUUCAUUCGAUCAUUCGGCGCAUCGUUCUCUUCAGCGUUUUGCCCAAUCGGCAUGUUGGCUCCCGCAACUUCCGAUCUCCUUGACGUAAUGUCCGAUCCUUUGGCCCGAUGCCCGAACUCAUGGUACGAAGUCCUUCUGUCGAUAUGUCGACCAAUCCUCUGACCCGACAUCCAAUAUCCUGACAUGUUCAACUCCGGCCCAACGUUCGAUUCCUCUUGCUUCAAUCAAGUUACCUCUCCUUAAUCGAAGCUAAUCCUAUAUCACUCAAAAUACAUAUUAGAUCACAAACUCAUCAAUUGAUUUUAUUAUCAAAAUCUAAGAUUCAACAAUCUCCCCCUUUUUUAUGAUGACAAUCAAUUGAUGACGGAGUUUAAACUAAACUCCCCCUAUCAAUAUGCUAUAUUGAUAGAACUCUUGAAAUUCAGAAAAUUAUGUAAUAUUUCAAAAUAUAAAAAUAUAUCAUAUCACGCAUGAUCAUCAUUAUACAUUCUCCCCCCUUGUCAUCAACAAAAAGGAGAAGUGCAACUAUCAAUGUUUUAGAUGUAUAACCUUAGGAAUUUAGUAACUUUCCCAUCACUUUAGGACAUGUAAGCUAGUGAGUUCUUCUCUUUUAAGAAGUGCAAGCUAGCAAUUUUUGCUUCCUUUGCAAUAUUGGAGUUAGCAAUUUUUUGCUUCUUUUGCAACGCGCAAGCUAGCAAAAUUUUACAUUAUUUUACAACAUGCAAGUUAGCAAGUUUUUUCACAUAUGAAAGUUGGUAAAAUUUUUACAUCUUUUGAGACGAGCAAGCUAGCAAGUUUUUCUUCCUUUUGCAAUACGCAAGUUUUCAAAUUUUGCAUCUUGAGCUAGCAAUUCUUUCUGCCCCUUUGUCAUUAUCAUAAAGAAGGAAGAAUACAAUAUUAUAAUUAUUUUUUCUUUACAUAAAAUUUUAAAUUAUGACAAAAAUAAAUAACAAGGAUAGAUUUACAUCAAUGUUUCAAUCAUCAAAAAUAAAAGAUCAAGUCAUGAAUACCAAAAGACCAUAGAUUAUUUCGACAAAUCUCCUUUUAAAUAAAAAACAAUCUUGAUUCAUUCAAUACAAAAUUCAAAUUAUAAUUGCGAGAAAUCAAGAUCAUAACUUCAAUAAAGCUUCUCUUUAAUAUAUAGCAAGUAGAAUCAUAGGAGAAUAAUAAAAAAUCUUGAUUCAUAUAAAGAAAAUCUCAACUUAUCACGAUUUGAUAAAUAUUUUCUUAAAAGAGUGAAUCAUACGUGCAUCAAGAAAGAUGUUUCAUGUUAAAUAUAUCAAAAGUCGUAAAUAUGAUAAAUGAUUUAGUUGGAUAUAUCAUCUCAUUAAUCAUAUGAAAAUGGAUCCAAAAUCAUCAUUAAAAUCAUUUUUCGGAAAAUUCAAUGAAGGCAACAUAGAUAGAUUCAUAUGAGAACUUGAUUCAUGCAUAAUGUCUCAAAUAAAAAAAUUAAUAAUAAUUUCAAAAAAUUCAUGAUUUAUAUAGAAAAUUCUCCUCUUUAGUAAAUGACAAGAAGAAACAUAGGAGAUAUAAGAUUUUGAUUCAUAAAUCUCAAGAAUAUGUGAAAGAUUUGGAUAAAAGUCAUUGAAAUUUAAAUCAUCAAAAUUAUUUUCAUAGUCCAAGAGAUUUAUAAAAAUGAUACAAAUAGAUUCAUCAAUCUUUCUUUUUGAAAACUCGAUAAGGUAGGGAUUGAGAAAUUUUAAAGAAACAUGUUUUCUUCUUUUUUGUUUCAACUUAUGUGAUUGAUUUCAUACAUGCAUGCCCUUUUCUUUUAUGCCAAAUCCAUGCAUUAUUGAUUAAAAUCGAAAAACAAAUUUCAUCAUCAAAAUCAUCAUGACAAAAAAUAUAACUCAUUAAACAUAAGGCUUUUUUAAACGAGCGAUUUGAUUUAUCAAUUUGAUUCCAAUGAUAAUAUAUUUUUCUUUUUAUGUGUUUCAUUUUAUGUGAUUGAUUUCAUAUAAGUAUGNNNNNNNNNNNNNNNNNNNNNNNNNNNNNNNNNNNNNNNNNNNNNNNNNNNNNNNNNNNNNNNNNNNNNNNNNNNNNNNNNNNNNNNNNNNNNNNNNNNNNNNNNNNNNNNNNNNNNNNNNNNNNNNNNNNNNNNNNNNNNNNNNNNNNNNNNNNNNNNNNNNNNNNNNNNNNNNNNNNNNNNNNNNNNNNNNNNNNNNNNNNNNNNNNNNNNNNNNNNNNNNNNNNNNNNNNNNNNNNNNNNNNNNNNNNNNNNNNNNNNNNNNNNNNNNNNNNNNNNNNNNNNNNNNNNNNNNNNNNNNNNNNNNNNNNGGCUUUUUUAAAACGAGCGAUUUGAUUUAUCAAUUUGAUUCCAAUGAUAAUAUAUUUUUCUUUUUAUGUGUUUCAUUUUAUGUGAUUGAUUUCAUAUAAGUAUGCUCAAGUUUUUCGCAUGAAAACCAUCCAUUAUGUUUAAAAUCGAAAAGUAAUCCAAAAUCAUUAAGAUACAUAUAAUUGUUUCUUAUAACAUAUAUCAGAUUAGUCUUAAUACGUAUACAAGCAUUAGAUUUAAAUCUAAUAUUUUGUUCCUUUAUUAUUAAGAGAUGCAAUUGUCAUGAUCAAAUUUUUAAUUCUUCAAAAUCACUAGAAAGAAAAGCAUGAUCCCCUUUUAUUUAUUUUUUUUACAAUUUAUUUAUUUAUUUUUACUAACUAAAUUAAAAAUAACUCAUGAAAAGACAUAAGUAAUUUCAAAAUAAAGUAAAUGGGUUUUAGUUAUCUCGUCGUCGAAAACCAUUAAGGUGUAGUUCGUCACAUUAUCUUUGUUAGUUUGCUUCUCAUUAUUGGAUGAGCACGAUUCGUCCCAAACCACCUUAAAAUAUUUCUUCUUCUUUGGCAACUUCUUUUUAAGUUUAUUUUUAUUCUUUAAUUCUUAUUUUAUGAACUUUUUAAAUUUUAUAGUGAGAAGUUCAAAGUCAUCAUCAUCAUCACUUGAGUUAUCACUAAGUGGUAUUCUAUUGUUUGAAUUGUCAAAUCCUUCCUUUUUUUGGAAGGUUGUUCUCAAAUUCAUCAAGUUCAUCAUGUGUCUUGUACGUCAUUUGAUAGGUCAUCAAAAACUCAAUAACUUCUUCAAUCUAUUACUUUCGAUUCCCAAUUUUUAGAAAGAGAUAUUAAUAUCUUGUUAACGAGUUUAAAAUUAGAAAAACUUUUACUAAGACUUUUUAAAUUAUUUAUGACAUUCGUAAAAUGAGUAUACACGUCUCCAAUGAUUUCACUUAGUUUCAUAUAAAAUAACUCAAAAUCAUGCAUCAAAAGAUUUAUCUUAGAAUCUUUAACUCUACUAGUGUCUUCGUAUGUGAUUUCAAGAGUGUGCCAAAUAUCAUACAUAGUUUCACAAAUAGAAACCCGAUUAAAUUCAUUUUUGUCUAAGGUGCAAAAUAAAACAUUCAUAGUUUUAGCGUUCAAAGAGAGUAUUCUUCUCCAAACCAUUCCAAUCAUUCAUUGGAAGAUAAGACUUUUGAAAUCUAUUUUCGAUAAUAUUCCAUAAAUCGAGAUUCAACGAAAGCAAAAAAACUCUCAUCCAAGUUUUCUAAUAAGUGUAGUCUGUCCCAUUGAACAUAGGAGGACGAAUGAUAGAGUGACCCUCCUGAAAGCUAAAAAGAGCCAUUUCUCUUAGAUGUUAAACCAAAUAAGAAAAAUGUGGCUCUGAUACCAACUGUUAGGAUUGAGUCGGUACUUGGGGUGGCAAGGGUGAAUUAGUGCAGCGGUAAAAUUACGUUGAGUCAAAAAUCUUCAUAUGAUAAAAACUCGUAUAAGAAAGAUGCUUAACUUGAAAGCAUACGGAAGCGUAGUGAAAGUAAGAAUUUAGUUUGCAAUAUAAGGUAAAAGCAUGAAGGAAAUGUAUCAUGACCUACAGCCACUCUCAAUUGCUCUUCACUCGAGGCCAUCGGCUUCUACUAGUGAUCUUCUUUCAACAGGCGAAGAUCAACUACCCUUUUACACCCAUCUUCUCCUUUUCACAUGUUUAGGAGACAACCUUUUACAAGUACUCACUCCUCCUUAAACAGAAUUCUAAACUUAGAGCUAGAGGAGGGGAUUUUUCAAUUGAUUGCUACAAUGUUUUCCCACUUUUAAGUUUCUUUUGUUUGUGUAUGUUAACCAGGGAUGAGAGGAGUAUUUAUAGGCCUCAAGUGGAUUCAAACUUGGAGCCUAAAAGUGUCUCAUCCUUGAUUUUUGAGGUACUGGUGGUACCACCGCUUGUAGCACUGAUAUUAGGCGAUACCACCGCCUAGUCUACCGGUACCACCGCCUAAUAGUCUCAAAGACUGAGUCUGGGUGGUACCACCUAUUGAAUCUUGGAUUUUGAUGAUGAAAUCAAUUGGUAAAUUAUUUGAUUUAAUCUAUAUGUUGAGAAAAGUGUGCAGGAUUAACUACGACAGUAGUAAGACAUAAAGCAGGUGUUGUGCCACAGUCAAGAUCGAGAUUUCAUUGAGAGUUCAAGAGUUCGUUAGAAGUUCUACCGGAACCAACCAAGAAGUCCAGGAGCUUACCAAAGAAGCUCAUCAGAACUCGCCAAGAAGAUCAUCGUGAAGUCCAGGAGCUUACCGAAGUCCGCCGUAAUAUUGCCGAGAGAUUGUCGGAAGUUCGCCGAAAGAUUGCCGGAAGAACAAUUGAUGUACUAGAACUAGAAUGCUUUGUUAAAUAUCUUAAUUAUUAUAGUUAGAUAAUAGAUUGAGUUAGGAUUGGGAGAUGAUCCCACUAACUUAGUUAGGGGCCUAUUGGGCCCUUAACAAGGCUAAAUUGGGUCGGAUUAAACAGCCCAUUCGGCACCUGAAAUCACGGCCAACGGUGGCACCGCUUGGGACUCAGUCUCCCAAGUGUUCUGGGUGGUGGUACUAUCAGCAAUUAAUGCUGCUAGCGGUAGUACCACCCUUGUCAGGCGGUGGUACCACCAGAGCUCGAUCUCGGAGCUCUAUCAAGCGAUCUGUUAGGACUCUAGCUAGGAGAGUCCUAAUUGAGAGGGACAUUCAUGUAAAACCUACCUAAGCUGACCCCUAUUAAAGAGGUGAAGAGGCCGGCUAGGGUUAGGAGGUUGUUUCUUGGAGAAGAAUUAGAAGUUGUAGAGGAAUAUGAGUCUUGAGUAUGAGUCAUAUUAGGAGUUGGUUAGAAGUAGGAGUCUUGAAUAGGAGUCCUAUUAGGAGUUAGGGUUUAAAAGCCCUAUAAAUAGCCAUGUAUUUCUCCUCUUUUGAUAAGCAAUAGAUGAAUCUUUUCUGUAGCCUUUGAGCAGCAACUUGGAGGGAGGAACCCCUAUAGAGUUCCAAGGAGGCCGAACCCCUAAAGAGAUCAACUCUAAGUUUAGAAUCUACAAGGGUUCUAACACCUGGUAUCAGAGCAACGUUCUUGGUGUCUCACUGCCCUUCCACAGCUAUCUAUCAACCCUCCACAACCAUCCAAAGCAAUUCCCACAAUUGCUUAAAAGAUCAUCGCCGUAUUCCACCAUCAUCUCUACCACCGCGGAUCAUCCUUUGAUCUCCCCGUGAAUUGCAACAGGUUCUGGUUUCCUACCUUACUGCUGCUGCAAUUUAGUUAUCCUUAUUCGAAAAUCCAAAAAAAAAAAUUAUUCCUAUAUUGCUGCAUAAACUUUUUGUCACAAAGUUUUCAUCUCUAUGACAAAAGAUACAUUGUAGAAUUCCAACCGCAUAGCACCAUCUGUUUGAUCUUGCUACUGUGCUUUUUCUAUCCAAAUUUCUACGAAAUUUUUAUGACAUCUUUGACACUUCCUAGCAGUAUAUUUUCCUUUGGUUUCAUCGAAAAAUUCUCAAUAUAAACUACUGAUCUUUUAUGUCCAAUCUGCUACACUUGAAAAUCUAUGCUGCAGAAAAUUUCAACCGCAUAUUGUUGCCUUAACCCAUCUAUUUACAAUCUUUUUUGAAUGAAAUUUCUUAUACACUUCAUAGAUCAUCUUGGCUUCCAUCUAAGAUUGAUCUAUUGAGAAAUUUAUCUCUAAAAAUGAUUUUGUGUUACUGUAAAUUUUCGUCGUAAACCGUUGAAAUUUUUCGACGAGAAUUCUGUAAUCGCAACUUGCACCAAUUUCCUUGCUGUUAUACUGCCGAAAUUUUCUUAAUUAAAUUAUGCAUCCUUGCUGUCAUAUAAAAUGUGAUUUUGCUAUCAAUUCCCUCCUCAAUUCUCUCAAGUUUUUGGUGGAAAUUACGUCGAGAAACCGUUGUUUCUUCGACAACAAUUCUACUCUUACAAGACAGCACAUACUUGCUGUAACUUUCACUUAUUUCUAUCAAACCUUUGCUACCACCUACCAUAGAUCCAAAACUUUCAUCCACAACCAUAAAACUCCACUAAACCACACCCUCAAACUGUACCCAAAACAGCCACAAAACAAGCCUAAACCGCAGCCUACAUCUACCAAUCCACCAACCCUUUCGACCAUCAUCUCUCUCAACCUAUACACGCCUUUAACCCGACAACAAAAGAGAGAUCAUAACAUCAUAGAUUUGGAGGCAUAUACUAUGGCAUCAGAGGAGGCAAUCAAUACUAAAUUCGAAGCCUUUGAGGCACGAAUGGAGAAUACGAUUCAGACACUCUUUACUGAACUCAGAUUAGGCCGACCACUAAGCCCGAAGAAAUCACAUCAAGGAGAGAGCUCUGCCCAAUCGCACCAAGCCCAAAGAGAUGACUUCCAAAAGAGGGGAGGUUCUAUGAUCGAUCCCAACUAUCCACGCAUGAGGGUGGACUUCCCUAGAUGGGAAGAAGGAGACUCGAUUGGUUGGAUUUCGCGUGCGGAGCGAUAUUUUUGUUACCACAAAACCGCGGACGCAUCUAUGGUAAAAAUUGCAGCUAUACAUCUUGAAGGGGAUGCCAUAUAAUGGUUUGACUAGUUUGAACACACUUAUGGAGUCCUUUUAUGGCGACAAUUCAAAGAAGGAUUGCUGAUCCGCUUUAGACCAACCAAUUACGAGAAUAUUGAUGGACAAUUAGCAAAGAUCCGACAAACCUCCACCAUUCAGGAGUACCAAACCAGGUUUGAAAGGUUAUCUAAUCAAACUCAUGAUUGGUCUCAAAAAUAGCUAUUGACAACCUUCAUUGAGGGCUUGAAGCUAGAGAUCCAGGGAGAAGUUAAAGCACGACAACCGUACACGCUUAUGACAGCCAUCUCUUUCGCACGACAUCAAGAGAAGCGAUUGAAUCAUGAAGCCUGGAGGACUAGAGUUGCUCCUCAACCAGAAAUACUGAAGCUCUCAGCCCCCCCUACCGUCGAUCGAGUCCCUACACCAAAGAAGUUGACAAGAGAAGAGCUUCGGGAGCAAUCUGCGAAGCGGUUAUGUUGGCAUUGCGAUGAGCCGUGGAGUUACAAGCAUUGCUGUAGAAAAGGGAGACUUCUUUUGAUUGAACCAGAAGAAGAAGAGGUCAUUGAGCAUUCAAAAGAGAGCUUUAAACAUAAUGAAGAAGAUGCGGAAGAAGAGCCACAACCGACCGACGUUAUAGUACACACACUAGCUGGCUACUCAAACCCACAAACGAUGAAAGAGAGACUUCUUAUGAUUGAACCAAUAGAAGAAGAGGUCAUUGAACAUUCAGAAGAGAACCUUGAAUAUAAAGAAGAUGCGAAAGAAGAGCCACAACCGACUGACGUUACAGUACACGCACUAGCCGGCUACUCAAACCCGCAAACGAUGAAAGUUGGAGGCCUUCUCAAACAACAACCGAUCACUGUUCUCAUCGACACGGGCAGUACUACUAACUUCAUAAAUAGUAAGCUUGCUGUUCGGAUAGCAUUACCUAUCGAGAAUCACUACAGGUUUGAUGUUAAGGUCACCGACGGACGGAUUUUGAAUUGUGAUCGUAGGCGCCCGCAGGAGAAACUAUUGCUGUAGGACCAAGAGAUAAUUGCAGAUUUCUUCCUUCUCCCUCUUAACAAUCAUGAGGCCAUGCUCAGAAUUAAAUGGUUGACGACAUUAGGUGAUAUUUCCUAGAAUUUUAUGAAACUAAUUAUGAAAUUUUACAGUAAGGAGAAACAUGUGACAUUGCACGGGAAACGUAGGGGCGACAUAACAAUGAUUUGCACAUAACAAAUGGAGAAGGUUUUGCAAAAAGCAUGCAGCGGCUUUUUGGUACAACUUGAGCAGCAAACUAAGGGAGAGCCAACAGAAUUUGAAGAUCCAAGUCUACUUCCUUUGCUUGCUGAAUUUUCAAAUAUAUUUGACGAACCGCGCAACCUACCUCUUACCCGUCGGCAUGAUCAUUGUAUAAUGAUCCUUCCCGGCAAAUCUUCAGCAAAUGCUCAACCAUAUCAGUAUCCACAUUUCUAGAAGGAUGAAAUAGAAAGGAUUGUAAAAGAGAUGCUCGUAACAGGAGUUAUCCGGCCAAGUUGCAACCUCUACUCUUCACUGGUGCUACUUGUACGCAAGAAGGAUGGAACAAGGCGAAUAUGUGUUGAUUACCGAGCUCUCAAUGGUAUAACCAUCAAGGACAAAUACCUUAUUCCAAUAGUAGAUGAAAGGGAGCACAAAUCUUUACAAAACUGGACCUUUGAUCCGGGUAUCAUCAAAUACGAGCGUGUGAAGAAGACAUACCGAAAACCACCUUUUGAACACACAACAACCACUACGAAUUUUUGCUUUCUUCAACAGAAGGUGGAAUAUUUUGGGCAUAUCAUAUCAGAGGAAGGUGUGGCAGUGGACCCCUUCAAAAUUGGAGCAAUGCAAAACUGGCCGACCCCGAGAAACAUAAAAUUGCUACAUAGCUUUCUGGGUUUAACAGGCUACUACCCCAAGUUCAUGAAAAACUAUGGAAAGAUCAAUACACCACUUACUUCCUUACUGGAAAAAGAUGUCUUCCAAUGGUUGGACAGAGCCUCCGCUUCCUUCGACAAACUUAAGGCAGCCAUGACGACGACGCCGGUGCUAGCGUUACUAGAUUUCAACCGACCCUUCAUCAUUGAGGCCGAUGCAUCUGGAGACAGAAUGGGAGACGUUCUCAUGCAAGAUGGUCAACCACUCAUAUAUAUUAGCAAGGCAUUGUCUCCCCCCUAUCAAAACAUAUUAACAUAUGAUAAGGAGAUACUCGCCAUUGUGCACGCAGCAACGAGAUGGAGAUCGUACUUGAUCAGGCGAUGCUUUCAAAUCAAGACCGACCAUAAAAGCCUAAAAUAUCUCUUGGAGCAGAAGAUAUCUUUCCCCGAGCAACAAAAAUGGGUAACAAAGGUUCUUGGAUAUGAUUAUGAAAUAACUUACAAAAAUGGGAAAGAGAAUGUUGUUGCAGAUGUGCUUUUACAGUUACCUAAGCAAGUUGAAAUUUUGGUCAUUUCACUUUCGACUAGUGACUUCCUUGAGGAUAUUAAGAUGGAAUGGUAAGAAGAUUCAGAGACCAGUAAGAUCAUAAAAAAUUAGAGGAAGUACCAAGCUCCGUGGCUCAUUAUAAUUGGGACUCAAAAGAAUUACACUAUAAAGGACACAUUGUGCUUGUGACAAAUUCUACUUGCAUCUUCACGAGCAGAUUUUGGACAAAGUUAUUCCAUAUGUAGGGUACUAAAUUGAAAAGGAGUACAUAUCACCCACAAACUGAUGGCCAGAUAGAAGUUGUAAAUAGGUGCUUGGAGAUAGCCCAAAGCCACCCACUAAGUAUGACUACCCAAGGAGAACUCCAGACCCAGCUAAGUGCCAUUAUUGAUCGACGGAUCGUGACUCAACGAUGACAACUCACUACUGAAGUGCUAAUACAGUGGGCGAACCUACCAACAGAAGAUGUCACUUGGGAGAACUAUGAUGACUUGAAGAUCAAAUUCUCAGAAUUCAUGAAUCGUCAGCCUUGAGGACAAGGUUGAUUUGAAGAGAGCAGAUCUGUUAGGAAGAGGGCGGGUAUGUUAGGACUCUAGCUAGGAGAGUCCUAAUUGAGAGGGACAUUCAUGUAAAACCUACCUAAGCCGACCCCUAUUAAAGAGGUGAAGAGGCCGGCUAGGGUUAGGAGGUUGUUUCUUAGAGAAGAAUUAGGAGUUGUAAAGGAAUAGGAGUCUUGAGUAGGAGUCCUAUUAGGAGUUGGUUAGAAGUAUGAGUCUUGAGUAGGAGUCCUAUUAGGAGUUAGGGUUUAGAAGCCCUAUAAAUAUCCAUGUAUUUCUUCUCUUUUGAUAAGCAAUAGAUGAAUCUUUUCUGCAGCCUUUGAGCAGCAACUUGGAGGGAGGAACCCCUAUAGAGUUCCAAGGAGGUCGAUCCCCUAAAGAAAUCAACCCCAAGUUUAGAAUCUGCAAAGGUUCUAACACGAUCGUACCGCCCAGUGUCAGGUGUCGGGCAGUGGUACCGGUAAUACACCAAAAAUCGGGGAAGUGACACUUUUUGGCUCCAAUUCAGAAGUCAUUUAGGCCUAUAAAUACCCCACUCUUUUCUACAUGAAAGGGCACGAAAGUAUUGGUAUAAUCUUGAAUCUUUGAAGUGUUAAAGAGUUGUAAAAGUGCUAGAUCCUCCUCCUCCCUUUCUAAGUGUUGAGAUUAUUCAAGAGAGGUGUGAGACUUGUGAGGGUUAUCUCCUAAACAUGUGAAAAGGAGAAAGUACUGUAAAAGGUUGUUGGUUUUCACCUAUUAAAGGAAGGUCAUUAGUGGAUGCCGAUGACCUCGACGGAGGAGGAAUCCAAAAGUGGAUGUAGGUCACAACGACUGAACCACUCUAAAUUCUAGUUUGCAUUUCGUCUUGAGUAAUUUACCUUUCUUUCAAGCUACUUUACCUUUUUACUGGUUUCUCUAUGCUCCCAUAUGCUUUUAAGUUAAAAUCUUUACGAAACGAUUUUGUCAAAAUCGAGUUUAAUCGAAACGAAGACUUUUGAAACGGGUAAUUUUUCCGUUGCACUAAUUCACCCACCCUCUUAGUGUCGCUCUUGAUCCUAACACCACCGUCCAGACUAGCGAUACCACCAUCUGACACAGUCUCGGAGACUGUACCACCGAUGGUUUUACCUAUUGGGUUACUGUUUAGGCCUUUCACUUGGCCCAACACAGCCCAAACUUAGGCCCAAUUGGCCCUUAAUUGAGUUGGCCUAAUUCCAACCUAAUUACGCUUAAAAACUACUUCGAUCUAGAUAAUUAUUACAAAGUUAAAUCAAAUAUUAUCCGGUAUGUCAUUGGUUCAUCGACGCCUCAUCCGAUUCUUUGGUGCAUCGUACUCUCUUAUGACCUAUUGCCCAAUCAGCUAGCUGACCUCUACAACUUCGAUUUCUUUGGCGUAAUUUUUGCUCUUCUUGGCCCGAUGCAUGAUCCCAUGGCCCGAGGCCUUCUGUCGAUACGUCGACCGAUCCUCCAACUCGACGUCCAAUCUUCUGACAUGUUUCACUCCGGCUCAACAUGAUUCUUUCUACUUUAAUUGUCUCUCCCUAAUCGAAGCUUCCUACGCCACUCAAAAUGCAUAUCAGAUCAUAAACAUAUCAAUUGAUUUCAUCAUCAAUAUUCAAGAUUCAACGGUCUUUGUGUUUGUCUAUGAUGCUCUUGAGAUGAGACUUCACUUUCCCUCCACCCAGUAAUGGUGUUCUACCUAGAGUGAUGGAGCAUAUCGUCCUAGCAUCUAACUCAUGAUACUAUCUAAUAACGUUUAUAAAAAAAAUUGCAGGCACGUAGAUAUCACUGCAACCCACAAGGGUUCAACCUCACUUGGUCAACACCCUGCAUAGUGUCAUGAGUUACAACUGCAUUUUGUCUUUUGGUGAAAAUUGUUUUUUAUGAACAUUUUGAAUAAGUUGACAUUUUUUACCUUCCAUUCAACUCUUGAAAACUAGGUUUUUUUUUUGUUCCUUUUUUAUUUGUCUUGUUAAAAGUAUUUAUAAACAUUAAACGUUUAUGUUAUGAUCAGAAAUGAAAAGUUGAGAUCAUUCCCCAAGAAUAGUUGAAGAGAAUGAAAAGUUGAGAACUCUGUUGGAUGCUAAGAACAGUACUUCUAGACUUUGGUAGUUAUUGUGUUUCUAAGAUUUUUUAUAGCCAGUUGAAUAUGCUGAUUAAUUGGUUAAUAAAUAUGAAAAAGAUGUAGUUUCUGUCCUCUGUUGUUGCCUACAAUGUGUCAUUUAUUAGAUGGCUUCUAACCAAAGUUUUCAAUCCAACCAAGGGUCAAUUUUUAUUUAUUUACUAUUUUUACUGUUGAUACAGAGCUUUACAGGUUGGUAGAGCACCCUACCAGUGCCUUAUCUUUCUGACCAGUUGCCAAAACCAGUAUUGGAUUUUUAAUCUUAAAUCCUUGCUUCUAACAACGCGCAAUAUGAGCCUACAUUCUUUCUAUAAAGAUCAACAAAAUAAUAAUAAUAAUAAUAAUAUUAUUAUUAUUAUUAUUAUCGUGACAUUUUUGGUGGUGACUAAUACUUAUUGUGGAUGAGUGCAAAUGACUUUGACGAUCGUGUCCCUCUCAGACUCACAGCUUACCAACACCAAUAUAUUUCCUGGAGAUUUUUUUUGUCGCCGCAUUUGCUUUAAAAUGAUUGUAAUUACCUACGACGUCCAUUCCAGUCAGUCAUAUUGAUUUUUAUAGUUGAGAUUAGUAAUGCUGGUGGUUAGGAUUUGAGAUUUGUAAUUACCUACUGCUCUCAUUAUUAUACGAAUAUUACAUGGAAAGAAAAACAUUAAAAGAAAGUAUUAUUUCGUGUCCGUUGGAUUCGGUGGGAACUGUGGCGCCCACGGCAAGCGAAGGCGGAAGGCUCCAAAACGGAAGAUGAUGCCGCCACGUUCCGUUUCUGGUGGUAAAGCCGUGGAAGAAAGCAGCGAGGCGAAACGAGCGGCUGCCGCCCCACGGUAUUAAACGACUUCGCACGAACCGUGCGUUUGUGGGCCUCUCACUCCACGAGACCGCCAACGCGGCCUGAUGCCGCCGCCUUCCUCCUCCUCCUCGUUCACCGCGGCGGUGGCGGCUCCCGCACUAUGUGCCCGCCGCCAAGCGCGCCGCUUCUUCUCCUCGGACUCUCGGCUCCGUCCACGAACCGAUCGACGCCGGGGCCAGUGGCCUCUCGCCCUCGCCUUCACGGCGCAGGGCCCCUGCUGCCUCUACGUGGGCCCCGUCGAGACGGCCAGUAAGGAGAUGCUCGAAGCCCUCUAUCAGCAGGUGCUAUUUCCGUUCCUUCUUAAUUUGCUUACAGCCCCUUUUUGUGAGUUGGAGGUAGCACAAUUAUAUCACAUCUCCUUGGUUAUUGUUCGUGUUCCUAAUUUGUUUGUAAUUUCUUCACCACACCUUCGACAAUUUAUCAUGGUCUUCUUUUUUUUUGUAUUUAUUGUUGCUUUCUUUUCAUAUAAUUAAAAGGAACGUCCUUUUUUUUAGUAUUAAAAUGUUGCUACGGAGGGAAUACGGUGUCAAUUUUUGGAAGCACUGUUUUACAUUGUGAAACCCGUCACGUAAGCAGGUCUUAUUCUACUUCAGCUUAAAUAUAUUCUGAGCAUCGAGCUAAUUAAUUUGAAUAUUAUAUGUAACUAGAUGUAUAAGGGAUUGUAUAUUUUAUUAAGAUUUUAAGUAUAUCUUUUAGAAGAUUUUAGAUUGUUAUCUUUUAUCUUUUACAUAAGUUGAUUAAAUAAAAUUUUAGAGAUCUCCUGGUUUAAAUUGUUAUUGAUAUUUACAUGUAUAGAUCCAUUCAAGUCUAAGUGUUUAGGCCUAUAGGGCUUAAGUCAAAGAGUAGUUUAAGAUCCUGCAACUGUUUUUCAUUUUGAGAAGUUCAAUAUAACUUUUUCUUUUUUACUUCCGUCUUGAUUUCUUCUUCUAUUUAGUUUGAUCUUUGGCUGGUAGUACCUUGUUACUAUUAUUUGAGAAAGGGUUGCAUUUGCAUGUGAUCUCUCCUUUUCUUCACACAAUGUCAGAGCUACAAGAGUGGUAAUCUGUAUUUCAAAAUCUCUUUGGUGAAGAAGAUAUCAUUUUUCGCCUAUGGAUUACAAUAGUCGAGUUUGUGGGUUUGAUAUUGAACUUUUCAAUCAGUCUAACUACAAGAUCUAGAAGACUUGUUUGAAGUCCUAUCUCACAGGGGUAAAAGAUAUAUGGGAUGCGAUUGGUGGCAAUGUAACAACAGCACCAAAUGCUAUAGAUAGAGACGCCAUAAAGAGAUGGAGGAUAUUAAAUGCAAAAGCUGAAUUUGUGUUGAAGAGAUCUAUUUCUCAUUGUCCCUUUGAACACAUUAUUGGUUGCAAAUCAGCUUUAGAGAUUUGGAUAAUUCUAGAUGCAUUGCUCAACAAAAAGAAUAUGGUUUGGCUUUAGUAUUUAGAGAAUGAUUUAACAAUCACUAUCUAAAAUGAUAUCUCAAUUUCUUAAUAUUUUUUAAAGAUUAAAACUUUAUGUUCAAAGAUAUCACUCUUAGAUCCGGAUGAGCCUAUUUAUAGUGUACAAAUGAAACGUUAUCUUAUUCAUAGUCUUUGAAAAGAAUAAAUUCUUUAUGUUAUAUCUAUUCAUGGAUGGGCUCAACAACCAUCCGUAGUAGAGUUGAAAAAUCUUCUUACUUUCUCAAGAAUCCUUAGCUUGUCAAAUGAUGAGAGUUUAUACUUCAGGGGGAGAUAUAGAUGUCCUUUUUACAAAUAAAAAAUAGGUAAUGAUAAAGAUAAAGAGAAUAAGGAUGAUGCUAACGGUAAAUCAGAGUCUUCUUCGAACAAUAGUGUAAAUCGAAAAAAAACCAAGUGUUAUAGGUGUGGCAAGUUAGGCCAUAACAAGAAAAAUUAUCAUGUUAAGAUUAAAAGAGGAAAUAUUACAAAUAAAGAAGAUUGUUCUAAUACUACUGAUGAAGAUUGGGGCAAAUCUUUUAUGGUUGAAACUGUUGAAGCCAUGACAUUUAUCACCUUCGAGCAUGAUUAGAUAGUUGAUUCAGGAUAUGGCCAUCAUCAUGGUCUGCAGUAUCGAACUGUACCGCCCGGUACGUGCGGUACGUACCGGUCCGACAGGUUGUCGGUACGUGGACUUCCUGUUACCAGUCCGAGUGCACUGUAGCAGUACACUGUAGCACUGUAGCAUAGCUACAGUACUCGGCACACCUGAGUAUACCGCUCGGUAUACCUUACUGUACUGGUACCAAGCCCAGGUCGAAACACCGGUACGGUACGGUAUUGCGAACCUUGGUCAUCAUCUCACUGGUGAUAGUACCAAAUUCAUCAAUCUUCGUCAAUGUGAAGGUAAUGAUGUAAUUAUCAUGGCAGACAACACUGUUCAUCAAGUGGAGAAGGAAGGCACCGUCAUAAUCUCAGAUAAAUAUAAUGAUCCUAUUAUAUUGAAGAGUGUGUACUAUAUUUCAGGUAUGAAGAAAAAUCUUUUUUUUGUUGCAAAUUUAGUUGAUUCUAGAAAUUAUGUUCUUUUGAGCCCUAAUGAAAUCAAGUUUCUUCAUAAUAUAAAAAAAUUAAAUGCAGAUGUAGUAUAUAUUGGUAAAAGGAUCAAAGAUUUAUAUAUUUUGUCAGCAUCUAACUUUUAUUUUGAUAGGAUGAGUGAAAAUGAUGAUGCAUCAAUCUGGCAUGCCAGACAUGGUCAUAUAAAUUUUCUUAAAUUAAAGAUUAUAAUACAGAAAAAUGUAGUUAAUAGUCUUUUCAAUCUUACUACUUUUAGUAGUAAUGAAGUUUCUAAGGUUGUUAAUAUGACAAAGCACACAAGCAACCUUUUGAUAUAUCACUUUCAAGAUUCAAAUUUUUCUUAGAGCUUAUUCAUAACAAUUUAAUGGGUCCUUUUCUAACUCCAUCUUAUUCAAGUUCUCGCUAUAUACUUCUCUUUAUUAAUGAUUUUACGAGGUUCACUUGGGUCUACUUUGUGAAGAAAAAAUUAGAAGUUUUUCAAAAUUUUAAAAAUCUAAGUUAACAAUUGAAAGUGUUCUUGAAAGGAAAAUUAAAAGGUUACACACCGAUAAUAGCCAGGAGGUCACUUAUAAUAGAUUUUCUCCUUUUGUAAAUAAUGACAUAAAAGGGAACUCACAUGUGUAAAUAUUCCACAAGAAAAUAGUGUGAUAGAACGGAAGAGUUAACAUCUCAUGGAGACUUGUAAGUGUUGGCUUCAUGCAAAGAAUUUACCCAAGGCCUUCUGGGUCAAAGGUAUGACAUGCACAAUUUAUGUUAUUAAUCGAACUCCUCUUAGUCUAAUCAAUCUAAAAUCUCCGUAUGAGCUUAUGUUUGAGGAGUAAUCAGAUGUUAAACAUUUCAGAGUAUUUGGUUCUUCGUGUUAAUGUCCACAUACCAGACUUAAAGAGAAGUUUGAUGCUAUAGCCAAAAAAAUGCAUCUUUAUUGGUUAUGAUAAAAAGAAGAAUGAUUGGAAAUGCAUGGAUUCACAAACACAUAGGUAUGUGGUAUCUCGAGAUAUUAUGUUUGAUGAUGUUUCUUCUUAUUAUCUUUUACAAGCAGUUUUUUUUUACAAUAUCAAUCACAACAGUGAAAGUGAUAUAUGUUUAAGACUUGUGGUUGAGUUUCCUUUGUCAUAUAGUAUUCCUAUGAAUUUUGACUCUUCUUCUUCCUUAUCUAUAUCUAUUUUUAUUAUUUCUUCGUCAGCAAUGGUAGAGCAAAGUGACAAGGAAAGUAAUGAUUUUUAUGAAGAAGAAAUUCCAAUGUUGAGAAGAUAAAAAAGAAUAAUUAUCAAACUAACACGUUACAAAGAUGGAAACAAUCUUAGCAUAUAUUACUGUUUCUUUUCUGAAUCAAUUGAUAAUCCUAAGCUUACUUGUUUUGAUUAAAGCCAAAGGUGUUAAAGAGUUAGAGGAUGCCAUGAAAGAAGAAAUGAAGAUUAUUCAUAAAAAUGAAACUUGGGUUCUUAUGCUAAAGCUUGUAGAUGUAGAUCUAAUUACUUGCAAAUGAGUUUACCAGGUGAAACGUAAGUCAGAUGGAAGUAUAGAUCGCUAUAAAGCAAGACUUGUUGCAUGGGGGUUUUCUUAAAAAUAUGAAGAAGAUUAUAAGAAAACCUUUAGUUCUGUGACAUGAUGAUAUCUAUCAAAAUGGUGAUUGCUCUGGCAGCUAAUCUUAGAUGGAAACUUUGACAACUUGAUAUGGAAAAUGCCUUCUUAUAUGGUGAAAUUGACAAGGAUAUUUANNNNNNNNNNNNNNNNNNNNNNNNNNNNNNNNNNNNNNNNNNNNNNNNNNNNNNNNNNNNNNNNNNNNNNNNNNNNNNNNNNNNNNNNNNNNNNNNNNNNNNNNNNNNNNNNCAAGCUCAAGAAGACCCUCUAUGGGUUAAAGCAAGCUCCUAAGAUAAAAAAAAUUGCUUAAUACUUAUAUUUCUAUGAUUAUUUUUCUUUUUAUUUAGAUCCUAGCUUAUUUAUUAAAAAGCAUGGAAGCCUACAUAUUAUUGUUCUUCCAUAUGUGGAUGAUAUGAUUAUCACUGGUAAUAACAAAAUAGAGGUUUUAAAGUUCUUGAUGAUCGUUUUCUCCUGUUAGAAAUGAAAGUCUUGGGAGAGUUUAAUAUUUUUCUUGGUUUGGGAGGUAAUGAAUACAAAAGAAGAUAUAUUUAUCUCUCAAACAAGCUAUGCAAAGAAAAUUAUUGAAAGAUUUAGAAUUAACAAAAGUAAAAAGGUUGCUACUCCACUUGAUGCAAAUAUAAAGCUAAGUUGUAAUGAUGGCAAGCUUCUUUCUUACCCUCGAUCUUUUUAGACUUUUAUUGGUAGUCUCAUCUACUUAACAAUUACAAGACUAGAUAUUAUAUUUUCAAUUAGUCUUGUAAAUCAUUUUGUGCAAUCUCCAAAGAAGUCACAACUUGAUGCAGCAAAGAGAAUUUUAAAAUAUGUGAAUUCUACCCUUGAUUUGGGAUCGUUCUAUAAGAAUGACAUACAUCUUGAAUUACAUGGUUCUGCAGAUGCUGAUCUGGGAGGUGAUUUAGAUAAUCGUAGAUCCACUUCUGACUAUGUCUUUUUAUAUGGUUAUGCUUGUAUCUCAUGGUGUAGUAAGAAACAACAAUUAGUUUAUCUUUCUACAACCGUAGCAGAAUACAAGGCUUCCUCACUUAUUACUCAAAAAUGUAUCUGGUUAAGGCAUUUAAUCGAGGACGUUUGCUAUCAAAUUAACAAACUAAUUAUUUUGCAGAUUGAUAAUCAAAGUGUCUUAAAAUUGACUACAAAUCUAAUUUGUCAUGUAAGAACCAAACAUAUUGAAAUUGAAUAUUAUUUCAUCCAGGAAAAGGUGCUUCAAGGUGUCAUUGAGGUCAUAGAGAUCAAGAGCAAAGAUAAUGUCGCAUAUAUCUUUACCAAAUCUCUCUCUAAAGGACUGUUUAAAGAUUUUUGAAGCAAGUUGGGACUUAUCUUCAAAAGUAUACUUUAAAGUAUGUCUUUUGGAAGAUUUUAUAUUGUUAUCUUUUAUCUUUUAAAUAAGUUGAUUAAAUAAAGUUUUAGAGAUAAGGGUCUCUUGGUUUAAAUUAUUAUUCUACACUUAUAAAUAGAUGGCAUUUACAUGUGUAGAUUCAUUCAAGUCUAUGUGCUUAGGCCUAUAGAGCUUAAGUCAAAGAGUAGUUUAAGAUCUUGCAAGUGUUUUUCUUUUUAAGAAGCUCAAUAUAGUUUUUUUUACCUGCUGCUUUGGUUUUUAAUUUUUCUAUUUGGUUUGAUCUUAGGCUAGUAGUAUAUUCUUACUAUUAUUUGAGAAAGGGUUGCACAUGCAUGUGAUCUCUCCCUUCACACAUUUUCAUCUAAAUUCACUUCUACAUACUUUUUUGACAAUACACAUGAGAGGAUGUUUUUAAGCUUGUAUAUGUUAAUUUACAUAAUAAAUUCGGCCAACCAGAAAAUGAGGCAUAUACUAUUCAUGAACUAGAAUAUAACUAAGUUUGAGAAUUUAGUAGUCAUCUGGUGGUACUUUGUCAAUUGAUCAUGUGGAACAUCACACAAAUCACUUGAUUAUGGUUUCCAAGGGCAUUUAAUUAUUUAUCCAUUUGUGAAAUACCCUCAAUAUCUUGAAUUUAGGAUAUCUAAUGCAUUUGUAUGUUUCAUGCUUGUUUGUUUAUCGUAGGCAAGGGAUUCGUAUUAUAGUGGUAAUCCUUUGAUUGUUGAUGACAUGUUCGAUAAAGUUGAGGUAUGACCAAAGAAACCCUCUUUCCUACAUGCCAUUCUUUUUCAUAGAUGUUAUCCUCAUUAUGUUUUACAGUUGAAGCUGCGGUUGUAUGGAUCAAAGUCUGUUGUUAAGUAUCCUCGGUGCAGCCUAAGACAACAUUCAACCUAUUCAGAUGCUGAGGUAACUUCAUUUGAAGUUUUUCCUUACAUAUACACAAAUGGAUUAUUUUUAUUUUUACUCUUCCGACACUGUCAUUCUACCUGUUUGAGGUUUUGAUAUGACCUGGGUGUAGACAGGAAGAUCCUUCACAAGCUUUUGCUCUAGCAAGUGUAUGGAUGUUGCUGCUUGCAUUUGGGACAUCUGCAAUUCUUGUGCCUACCAUCUAUAGCCUCAGUCUGGCUCUCAGUGAUAUUUUCAACUUGAGAUAUUUCUUUUAUGGUGGUAGAUCACCAUUUGAAUUGUUUAUGAUGGUCAAUGGCUUUCUGAUCAUGGGACUCGGUUGUCUGAUUGGUUAUCCUAUUGCAUCUGCUUCUGGUAAGUUAUGAUGCACCUACUGUACUAUGUUGAUGGUUGCCAGAGUUUAGACUCAUAUUGCAUACUUGUUAGAACCAUUGUGACUGCUUACAAAUAGGGAUGUCGAUGUAGCUCGAUAACCUGAUAAUCAUUUCUGGACUUUGAGUAUCAAUCCUUCAAUUUUGGAUCUAGUGACAGGUGGAUAUAGAUUCGUGGAUCUAUACAAAAUAAAAAGAUGACAUAAAUCUGAUAUCUAACCUUCAUAUGAAAAUUUUAGAUUUACAUCCAAUUUUGAAUGCUACAAUCCUUUAUCAGAUUCCAAUUGUAGAUGCAACAACUUGGUACACCCUGAUUAAUUCAAUUUUCAGAAUAUGAAUUUCUUUUUAAAAUUGUCUGAGCAAUAUAUUCUCUUUCUUUGCUUCCAUCGUGUUCAAUUUUCAGGAGCAAAAUCAUUUUCAAUUGUUUAGUUGAUGUGAUAACUUUCAGUUUUUUAUUUGUGAUUUUCUAGUUUCAUAGCAGAUAUAUGAAAACGGGAGGAACUUGACGCCCAUUGUCAUUAGGACGUUUAUUUCCUGUGCUUCAUAUUGAAUUCCCUAGAAGCACAAAAUGAUUACCUAUCUUCUUAGAUCCAAAAACACACAUCCGUAGUUAAUGCCAAGGUUUCAGCAAACUUCUUUUUAUGUCUUGAUAUCUCUGAGAUUUUGCAUCAUGUUACAUUAUUGGCAUAGAUAAGUUAACUGCUCCAGCAGACAAGUUUCCAUCAAAAUUUAGCUAAUAUGAUCAUUGUUUUCUACUUUACAGUCCA
rnacentral:lncRNA from 1 species